GUCAAAGACAAAAAUUGAAUAAUUUGUGUGUGAAGCCAAAAUCAGCAAACUUUGAUCCAUAAGUUGGAAGGAAAGUUUGGACAAGGUGGCCUGAAGACAAUAACUUCUAUGAGGCGGUUAUAACUGACUACAAUCCUGUUGAGGGCCGGCAUGCUUUGGUUUAUGAUAGUAGUACAACAGAUAAAACAUGGGAAUGAGUCAAUCUCAAAGAGAUGGAGAUCAUCAGUUGCAAGGCCAAUCAAUGGACCAAGAGCGAUGGAGAAAACAGCAGUAUGAUGAUCAUACUGGAGAAGGUAAUAGGGUAAUUGAAGGUUCAGACGCCAACAAGAUGGCUACAGAUGGAAGAGUUGGUUCGGGAGGCGAAAAUGCAAAACAAUCCCCGAACCACUGUUUUUAUUCCUGUAUUAUGUAUGGAUUUAAAUUAUUGAAGUUGGAUUAGACUUGGAGUGUAUGGAAUUUGUAUUAUAUAUAGAAUUGGACAUUGAAGAUUAAUUUUAUGGA